rnacentral:rRNA from 1 species
UACGUAGGGUGCAAGCGUUAAUCGGAAUUACUGGGCGUAAAGCGUGCGCAGGCGGUUUGUAAGACCGAUGUGAAAUCCCCGGGCUUAACCUGGGAACUGCAUUGGUGACUGCAAGGCUUGAGUGUGUCAGAGGGAGGUGGAAUUCCGGCGUGUAGCAGUGAAAUGCGUAGAUAUGCGGAGGAACACCGAUGGCGAAGGCAGCCUCCUGGGAUAACACUGACGCUCAUGCACGAAAGGCGUGGGGAGCAAACGAGG